UUUUUACAAUUGAAAUUGAAUAUAUUUUGUGCAUAUGCUCCAGGUCUUGAUCUAUCAUCCCAGUUGAAUAAUAAUUGAUUAAAUUAAUAAGGAAUUAUUAAGUGUAAUCAUUACUUGUUUUGGUCAUUUUGGUUUUGUCCAUCAGGUUCCAAAGCAUAUGAAUCUGUGAGAAAUAUGCUACUCAUGGUAAUUACAAAUCAAAUGCUAAAUUCACUUUUGUGGCAAUGUUCGGAGUGGUUCACUCUAUUAUACUUAUCUUAGAUAACUGAAUUCUGAAGCUCAAAUGCUUAUCUUAUUUGUCUUAUGGAGAUGCUAUCUUUAGGAGUAGAGGGAGGAUUUUGCUUCUAUCAUAGGGAGAUAGAUUUGUAUUGGGGUGAAGUGGUUUUCUUCAAGUUUGCUUUUGUAUAUUGGGAUAUUUAUUGACUGUGUUCUGGUUUAAGCAUUCCAUAUGCCUUAUUAUUGAAUAUAGUUUUCUUUGCUUAUUUAGAAAUUCCUUAUACUCUGUGUUCUGGUUUAGAAAUUCUUUGCUUAUUUAAUAUAGCCGACAUUGAUCAUUGCCUGAACCUUAUUUACAAAAUGCCUAUAAGUGUUUCGUUAUGGAGCUGAAGUCAGGUAUAUCCAUUUCCUUUCUAAUUUUCGUUCGUGUUUCAUUCAUUUUAGUUUAACAUAUUUUUAAUCGAAAUUGGAGGCCUUGAAGUUGUGAUUUUGUGUGUGUGCGCACGCGCGCGUGCCUGUGUCUGUAUCUCAGUGAAAAUCAAUUUUGCUCACCAUUGAACUUACACAUCUGCAGGUUAAGGGAAUUACCUAUAUCAGAGAUUGGAAGGCUUGUAUAUGUAAAAAGAGUGGUAAAGAGGACAAUAGUUUCGACCCGAGCUCCUCUAAGGGACUUUCAAGUGCCUAGAAUGAGGUGGUGUAUUUUAUAAAGAAUGUAGAGAAAAUUUACUGAUAGGAAAAGGUUGUGUACAUUGCUAGAAGUUGUUGCCACAAAAAGAGAUCACUUGCAUCCUCGUCGACGUCAUCAACAACUUCUUGAAAACAUGAGAGAGGAGCUGGCAUGGUUGUAAAAUGGCAGAGGAAUGCUUAGGUUAAAUUUAAUUUGUUUGCUGUGGUGUUCUGACGAUCAUCAACCGGUUGCAGGAAAUGGACUGUUGGGAGCUUGUAGUAAAUCAAUUUUGUUGUCUUGUGGUUGGUUGUUUUAAUCUGAUUAAGGUUGAGGAUCAUAAGGACCUUUGUAUUAGCAUAAGUUUGUUUUGUUGGUUAGAUGUACUCAAAUAUUGUUUCAGACCAAAUCUAGUAUAUUUUUCAUGUU